rnacentral:rRNA from 1 species
GCACCACGAGGGCUUAACUGUCUCCCUUUUCCAAUUAAUGAAACUGAUCUUCUCGUGAAGAAGCGAGAAUAAAAAUAUAAGACGAGAAGACCCCAUGGAGCUUCAAACUCAUCACCAUUUACUUUUAUUACACCAUCACAUAUAGUAAAAAUGUUAACUGAUAGUUUUCGGCUGGGGUGACCCUGGAGAAAAACAAAUCCUCCAGGAUGAACGGAAUAAUAAUCCUAAUCUAAGAGUCACAACUCUAAGAAUCAAAACAUUGACAUCAUUUGAUCCAAUUACUUGAUCAACGAACCAAGUUACCCUGGGGAUAACAG